rnacentral:rRNA from 1 species
UACGGAGGGUGCAAGCGUUAUCCGGAUUCACUGGGUUUAAAGGGUGCGUAGGCGGGCAUUUAAGUCAGUGGUGAAAUACCUGAGCUUAACUUGGGAACUGCCAUUGAUACUAUUUGUCUUGAAUGUCGUGGAGGUUAGCGGAAUAUGUCAUGUAGCGGUGAAAUGACUUAGAUAUGACAUAGAACACCUAUUGCGAAGGCAGCUAACUACGCGAAUAUUGACGCUGAGGCACGAAAGCGUGGGGAUCAAACAGG